AUCACAAAUACUUCUUUUGUAUUGUUCAAAAUUUGGCUUGUUAAUAUAAAAUAGCUACUCUGUUAAUUUGCAAGUGCAGUGGAAGCUGUGACUGACGUACAGCAAGUUGUGUAUUUCGUUACCUGAGAGGGAAGGGAGGAGGGGAGGAGGCAGAUAGACAAGAGAAAAAGCAAAGAAGUUAUUGAUGUAACCGAUUUUUUUUUUUUAAAGAUAUGAUGAAAGAGCCUAAUCAGGAAAAAAGACAAUUGAAAGACUGGAAUCCACACUAGUUGUUUCACCAGCUUCCCUGCCCUCCCAGUUAGACUCUCAAGUAAGUGGGCCUGUGAUGACCACAGGAAGAGAGCACGUCACAAGGAGGUGCUGCAGGGAGAGGAGGAGCCUGAGAGGAAAAGCCUCUGCUCUCUUUCUCCCUGAGCCAGCCAUGUGCUUUGGUCUCCUGUGCUGUGUGGCUCUUUUCAUCUGGGGAGCAGGCUCCAUGGACACUGAGGUCAUCCAGAGUCCAGGUCAUCUGGUCAAAGGAAAAGGCCAGAAAGCAAAGAUGGAUUGUGUCCCCAUAAGAGGACAUAUUAAUGUUUACUGGUAUCGCAGGAAGCUGGAAGAAGCAUUCGAGUUCUUGGUUUACUUUCAGAAGCAAGACAUUGUGGAAGGCACAGAAGUGUUCAAAGAGCGAUUUUCAGCUCAGUGCCCUCAAAACUCACCCUGCAGCCUGGAAAUCAACUCCACUGAGGCAGCGGACUCGGCUCUGUAUUUCUGUGCCAGCAGCCAGUCCACAGUGCUGCACGUCAGCUCUUCUUCGAACACAAACUCACCAUGGACCCAGCUCAGGAAAUCACUGGUGUCGUAGGAGGGUAGGAACUAACGGAAACCCACCUUGAAAGAGCAUAAAGCAGAAGGAAAAAUCUGUAAAUGGCCACACAGGAUGAGCAGAAGGGGAGGUGGAAAACAGCUGUUGGGAACACAAACCAAAGGAUGGGGCAGGAAGCUGUAAGUGGUCUCAGAUUCCCCAGUUCGCAGGGUAUCUGGCAAAGGAGACACAGGAUGUGACCUUGAUGGGUUCCUAAUAAUCUUUAUUAAAAAGUGUAGUUUUGAGCUUUUCACCUGGCAAAACUGUGCCUUCAGAAAUAAGGAUAAGCAACAGAGGCACCCUGAUCACGUGGCUCAGCACAUUAAUUGAUCCAAACCCAAUGACUCCUUAGGGGUUCAUGGCUGAUUCUCUCAGCUGUCCCUGCCAGAGGAGCUGAGCAAGAAACUCAGCAACUCCUUAGGUCCUGAAUACUACAAUUACACAAGCUUUAAAAGCAACAUCUCUGCAAUAAAAUGCACCCAAUUGAGUAUAUGUUUCAAUACUUUUUGAUGAGA